CAGACAAAGGCAAGUACUAGAAGACGGCCACAUGCCACCUCCAUUCUGGCAGGGCAAAACACGUUACUGCCACACCUACCAAGUGUAAUAUGAGCAAAGGCGAUUAUGAUGGAGUGCUUCAGGGUAGGAAAAG